rnacentral:lncRNA from 10 species
CAGGCUGGUCUUGAACUCCUGACCUCAAGUGGUCCACCCACCUCAGCCUCCCAAAGUGCUGGGAUACAGGCGUGAGCCACUGUGCCCAUCUAGGUGGUAGUUUUUCUUUAUGCUGAGAUUAUUUUAUUUUGCUUUUACUUUUUUUGAGACAGGGUCUUGCUGUCACCUAGGCUGGAGUGAAGUGGCUGUUCUAUCCACAGGUGCAGUCAUGGCACACAACAGCCUUGAAUUCCUGGCCUCAAGCAAGCGAUCCUCUUGCCUCAGCCUCCUGAGUGGCUGACACUAUAGGCAUGUGCUACCACACCUGGCU